UCCCAGUCAACUUUGAUGGCUAACGUGGGCU
rnacentral:piRNA from 1 species